rnacentral:tRNA from 1 species
GGCGGGGUGCCGGAGCGGUCGAACGGGGCGGUCUUGAAAACCGCUAGCUCGCAAGGGCUCGUGAGUUCGAAUCUCACCCCCGCCG